rnacentral:rRNA from 1 species
AUGAUGCCACGGCAACAUAUCGGUUCCGGUAACUCGAUUGAGAUACCGAUGCAAAAGAGAAGUGUGUGGAUGUGUGGAACAGGCAAGAGAUGGUGGGGUGCUCCCAUUUACCGGGUUCCCAUGGGUCGAUGGCUGUGUCAAACGAGGGAACAACUAACGUUCACGGGCGGAUACAACAUCCAAACAUGCAUCUCAUACAACACAUGCAUUCGUUCACUGGUCACCAUCUCGGCGGUUAUACCUUCGAAGCGUGCAAACGGGACGGUUCAGGUUCUGUGCAAUGUAGAGGAAGUAGACGUUCUCGGGAUGGUCGUAGUGGAAGUAGUGGUACACGGGGACGGUAGUGGAAGUAGUGAUACACAUUUUCAUAGAGGGUCUUGA